GUUGGUUUAGCUCAGUGGUUGAGUGCAUGCUUGGAAUGUAUGAUGUCCCGGGUUCAGUCCCCAGUGUCUCCC